rnacentral:rRNA from 1 species
AAACUGCGAAUGGCUCAUUAAAUCAGUUAUCGUUUAUUUGAUAGUACCUUACUACAUGGAUACCUGUGGUAAUUCUAGAGCUAAUACAUGCUAAAAACCCCGACUUCGGAAGGGGUGUGUUUAUUAGAUAAAAAACCAAUGCCCUUCGGGGCUCCUUGGUGAUUCAUAAUAACCUCUCAGAUCGCAUAGCCUUGAGCUGGCGACGGUUCAUUCAAAUUUCUGCCCUAUCAACUUUCGAUGGUAAGGUAUUGGCUUACCAUGGUUUCUACGGGUAACGGGGAAUUAGGGUUCGAUUCCGGAGAGUUAGCCUGAGAAACGGCUAACACAUCCAAGGAAGGCAGCAGGCGCGCAAAUUACCCAAUCCUGAUACAGGGAGGUAGUGACAAUAAAUACUGAUAGGGAGCUCUUUUGGGUUUCCUAAUUGGAAUGAGUACAAUUUAAACCUCUUAACGAGGAACAAUUGGAGGGCAAGUCUGGUGCCAGCAGCCGCGGUAAUUCCAGCUCCAAUAGCGUAUAUUAAAGUUGUUGCAGUUAAAAAGCUCGUAGUUGAACCUUUGGCCUGGCUGGCAGGUCCGCCUCACCGCGUGCACUUGUCCGGCCGGGCCUUUUUUUCUGGAGAACCGCAUGCUCUUCACUGGGUGUGUUGGGGACCAGGACUUUUACUUUGAAAAAAUUAGAGUGUUCAAAGCAGGCCUUUGCUCGAAUAUUACAGCAUGGAAUAAUAGAAUAGGACGUCGGUUCUAUUUUGUUGGUUUCUAGGACCGCCGUAAUGAUUAAUAGGGACAGUCGGGGGCAUUAGUAUUCAAUGGUCAGAGGUGAAAUUCUUGGAUUCUUUGAAGACUAACUACUGCGAAAGCAUUUGCCAAGGAUGUUUUCAUUAAUCAGUGAACGAAAGUUAGGGGAUCGAAGACGAUCAGAUACCGUCGUAGUCUUAACCAUCAACUAUGCCGACUAGGGAUCGGGCGGUGUUAUUAUUUUGACUCGCUCGGCACCUUACGAGAAAUCAUAAGUGUUUGGGUUCUG